UACGUAGGGUGCGAGCGUUGUCCGGAAUUACUGGGCGUAAAGAGCUCGUAGGUGGUUUGUCGCGUUGUUCGUGAAAACCGGAGGCUCAACCUCUGGCGUGCGGGCGAUACGGGCAGACUUGAGUACUGCAGGGGAGACUGGAAUUCCUGGUGUAGCGGUGGAAUGCGCAGAUAUCAGGAGGAACACCAAUAGCGAAGGCAGCUCGCUGGGACGUUACUGACACUAAGGCGCGAAAGCGUGGGGAGCGAACAGG
rnacentral:rRNA from 1 species